CUGCCUUCCUCUGCAUAUACUAAAUAAUGCAUAUGUAUGUUUCUGUAUACGUGGUUUUGAUGACAUUAAAUUAGAAAUCUUUGUUUUAGAAGGAAAAAAAAAAAAGGUUACAUAGACACAUCUGGAAGACAACCUUCAGAGCUCAGUAGUUGUAGGUCAUCUUAGCUUGAAUGCAUUCUCUCACAGCCAAAAGAACUGCCUCAUGAUGUGCCUGCAUUCACUUCACUGCGGAGGCUACACAGCUAAACAUUGAGAUCAGCCUUUCCUUUUCCUCAGAAUGGGUGGCAUGGGAGAAGGCUAUGUUGGCUUUAAUCCAGGCUGUCAGGAACUGGCGUGUGACUCCACUUAGCGUGACGGGGAACCUCACACCCACAGCUCCUGGUGCUGAGAGACUUUGCAUGCUGAGCGUGUCUGUCACUGAGCUUUUCUCACCUUGAGGAAGAUUGGAGCCAAGUGCUCUGGGAUGCCUUUGUGUGCCAUCGACUGAUGCAGGUGAGCAAGUUGUCAGCCAAAUGGGUCCAGUCUGGGAACUCUGCCAGAAGGAGGAGGAGGCAGAGAAGAGCCCCUUUCUGAUAGCUGUAACUAAAGAAGCUGUUCCUACAGGGCUCAUAAAGGAUUGUUGGCAUUACCACAGGGAGCUGCUAACAGAAGGAAACCAACGUGUGUGCAUGCGUGCAAGUACGUGCAAGGACUCUGCACUACAUGGCACAAGGCUCAUGAUUCAUCCGAGAAGCACACAAAAUCAUCCUCUGGGAUUGCUGGCAUUUUUGUAUGACUUCAAAACUUGGCACUCAGCAUUCUCAGGAGGAAAAUCUUGAAGAGUUAAAAGAAUACAGCUGAAUUGCAAAGAGGGAACUGGCCAGAAGUGGCACGACCUCAUCCCCUAGCAACAGAAAUCAAUAACAGCAAAGAUAACAUAAUUACACCACAGAAAGGAUCCAGAGGGCAGAUUAUGUCAAGUAUUAUGUUGUUAAGAAAGAAUGACAUGUGAAAGAGACAGCGUGCUUUAAACAUGGAUGAAAACACGGAAAAUGUAGAAGGUAGAUAGGGAAAAGUGAAAUACGAACACAGAAUAAAUUAGCCGGCAGAGUCUUAAAAGGGAAAGAA
rnacentral:lncRNA from 1 species